UGGUGAGCCACCGUUUCUAAUUCGUUG
rnacentral:piRNA from 1 species